UGACCGUAAAGCGCUGCAUGGCGAGGCCGGAGAGCGCCGGGCCCGGCGGGGCGGCCCGAGCGCGGGCAGACGGCGGCCGAGAGUACCUCGGCCCUCCCCAGGGCCGCCGCGCAGGAAGCACCGCCUCGGCGGUGCCGCCGCUCAUUCCAUGUCCUCUGCCCCCACAAGUGGAACCUCCUCAAAUGGCAGAGCAUCUGCCAUUUUAUAUGAUCAUCAUCAUAAGAUGAGCAUCUUAAGCCUGCCCUUCUGCACCUUCAGCUUGAGAUCUCCACGUGUAAAGGCAGACAAGUGAGAGGUCUCCAUUCAGAAUCAGCAGAGAAUUGGGUCCUCUUUCAGUGAAGCACUCUUCUUGGACAAAGAAGCAUGAGCAAUCACAUCCUUAUUCAGCAAAGCAUGCUGUGCAACAAAAGGCUUCAAGUGUAUCUAAAGCUGCACCAAAGAAGGGGCAUGGAAACAUCUCAAGGCACCCUUGAAUGCAGGUGGAAUUCAGUGUGCCCUCCCUUGUUUUGAGUAUUAGUGUGGAUACUUUUGUUAUUUAAAAUCAAGCUAGUGGGGUUUGGU